GCCGCAAUAGCUCAGCUGGUAGAGCACGUCAUUCGUAAUGACGGGGUCGGGGGUUCGAGCCCCUCUUGCGGCA
rnacentral:tRNA from 2 species